rnacentral:misc_RNA from 1 species
GAUGAAGAACGUAGCGAAAUGCGAUAAGUAAUGUGAAUUGCAGAAUUCAGUGAAUCAUCGAAUCUUUGAACGCACAUUGCGCCCGCGAGUAUUCUCGCGGGCAUGCCUGUCCGAGCGUCAUUUCAACCCUCAGGGCCCGCCUGCUUGCAGGCGCGGCGCUGGUGUUGGGGAUCGGCUACCCUGCCGUCCCCCAAAUACAGUGGCGGUCUCGCUGCAGCCUCCCCUGCGUAGUAGCAACACUCGCAUGCGGAGCGCGGCGCGGCCACGCCGUAAAACCCCCGACUUUCUGAACGUUGACCUCGGAUCAGGUAGGAAUACCCGCUGAACUUAAGCAUAUCAAUAAGCGGAGA